ACUGCUCACUCAAAGGGCCUUGGGAACAUGCUUCCAAUGUCGCCUGGGGAUGGGGCCGCGUCCGAUCAGGUUGUUGGUGAGGUAAUGGCUCACCAAGCCUAUAACCGGUACGGGCCGUGAGAGCGGUAGCCUGGAGAUGGGUACUGAGACAAGGACCCAGGCCCUACGGGGCGCAGCAGUCGCGAAAACUCCGCAAUGCACGAAAGGGUGACGGGGCUACCCCGAGUGCCAUCCGCUGAGGGUGGCUUUUCUGUGGUGUAACCAGCCAUGGGGAAUAAGGAGAGGGCAAGACUGGUGUCAGCCGCCGCGGUAAUACCAGCUCUCCGAGUGGUAGGGAUGAUUAUUGGGCUUAAAGCGUCCGUAGCCUGCUUAGCAAGUCUCCUGUUAAAUUCAGCGACCUAAUCGUUGAGCCGCGGGAGAUACUACUAAACUAGGAGGCGGGAGAGGUCGACGGUACUUCUGGGGUAGGGGUGAAAUCCUAUAAUCCCGGGAGGACCACCAGUGGCGAAGGCUGUCGACUAGAACGCGCUCGACGGUGAGGGACGAAAGCUGGGGGAGCGAACCGGAUUAGAUACCCGGGUAGUCCCAGCCGUAAACGAUGCGGGCUAGGUGUUGGGGUGGCUACGUGCCACUUCAGUGCCGCAGGGAAGCCAUUAAGCCCGCCGCCUGGGGAGUAC
rnacentral:rRNA from 1 species